rnacentral:rRNA from 1 species
UCGAGCGAACAGACGAGGAGCUUGCUCCUCUGACGUUAGCGGCGGACGGGUGAGUAACACGUGGAUAACCUACCUAUAAGACUGGGAUAACUUCGGGAAACCGGAGCUAAUACCGGAUAAUAUAUUGAACCGCAUGGUUCAAUAGUGAAAGACGGUUUUGCUGUCACUUAUAGAUGGAUCCGCGCCGCAUUAGCUAGUUGGUAAGGUAACGGCUUACCAAGGCAACGAUGCGUAGCCGACCUGAGAGGGUGAUCGGCCACACUGGAACUGAGACACGGUCCAGACUCCUACGGGAGGCAGCAGUAGGGAAUCUUCCGCAAUGGGCGAAAGCCUGACGGAGCAACGCCGCGUGAGUGAUGAAGGUCUUCGGAUCGUAAAACUCUGUUAUUAGGGAAGAACAAAUGUGUAAGUAACUAUGCACGUCUUGACGGUACCUAAUCAGAAAGCCACGGCUAACUACGUGCCAGCAGCCGCGGUAAUACGUAGGUGGCAAGCGUUAUCCGGAAUUAUUGGGCGUAAAGCGCGCGUAGGCGGUUUUUUAAGUCUGAUGUGAAAGCCCACGGCUCAACCGUGGAGGGUCAUUGGAGACUGGAAAACUUGAGUGCAGAAGAGGAAAGUGGAAUUCCAUGUGUAGCGGUGAAAUGCGCAGAGAUAUGGAGGAACACCAGUGGCGAAGGCGACUUUCUGGUCUGUAACUGACGCUGAUGUGCGAAAGCGUGGGGAUCAAACAGGAUUAG